UUACGGCCACAUCACGUUGAAACACCGUUCCCAUACGAUCACAGAAGUUAAGCAACGUCGAGUCUAGUUAGUAUUUAGAUGAGUGACCACUUGGUAAUAUCAGGUUACAGU